rnacentral:lncRNA from 1 species
GUUUUUCAAUACAAAGCAUCAACUAUCCCAGAAAAUCCUAUCCCCACUCUCAGCAGCUGGGGUCAUGCAGGACUCAUUAAAGAAAGUAAAUAUAGGAUGUGGGCAUGCCUGGCAGUGACAGCUUUCUUGUGGUGCCAGCAGGCCCUCUGCCAGGUAAUGCUGAACUCCCGGUGAGAGCUGCUCAGAGCACCUUUGGGAUGUGUACAGAAGAGUUCUGUGGAGAAUGAAAGGAGCUGGAGGUAACUUAGAGGAAAGAGGAAGGGCUUGUCCAUCGUGGCAGAGGUGUGGGAAUAUCUCACUCAGAUGAGGCCUUAAGGCUCAGAAACUGGAUACAUGAUCAGGGAAAGAAGGAGGAUAUGAUGGCUGUAUUUUGGUAUUUUUGGUUCCUGGAAAUGACUUCCCAUGCACUGGAGAAAACUUCAGGAUGGUCAAGGUACUCAAGAGACCAGAACCUGCCAGUUCAUUGAGAGAACAUCAAGGUGGUUUGGGGCUAUGUGGACCAUGGCUAUAUCUACUGUGCUGCCACACUCAGGAUUUCAAGUACUGAGAAAAAUGUCUUGCUUCUAGCUUCCUUGUCAUCUCUUUCCUUUUGUACAUCUGCUGGUAAAACAACCUGGCAAUAGAUGAAACUUUAAAUACAUUAGGCAUUCAUUUACAUUUGAAGAGGGAAAUAAAAUAUGCAUGACUCACCA